AGAGUUUGAUCCUGGCUCAGGACGAACGCUGGCGGCGUGCUUGAUACAUGCAAGUCAAGGAGAACAUUAUCUUCGGAUAAUAAGUAAACUGGCGAACGGGUGAGUAACGCGUAAACAACUUGCCUCAGAGAUUGGGACAACAUUGGGAAACCAGUGCUAAUACCAAAUAAUGCAGCGGGCUCUUCGGAGCACAGUUGUUAAAGUAGGCUUCGGCUUACACUUUGAGAUAGGGUUGCGUCCGAUUAGUUAGUUGGUAGGGUAAAAGCCUACCAAGACCAAGAUCGGUAGCUGGUCUGAAAGGAUGAUCAGCCACACUGGGAAUUGAGAUACGGUCCAGACUCCUACGGGGAGGCAGCAGGUAAGGAAUUUUGCACAAUGGGGCGAAAGCCUGAUGCAGCAACGCCGCGUGAACGAUGAAGUUUUUAGGAAUGUAAAGUUCUGUCGUAUGGGAAGAGAUCUUUCGAAAUGUUAAUACCAUUCGUUAAUGACGGUACCAUACAAAGAAAGCACCGGCUAACUUCGUGCCAGCAGCCGCGGUAAUACCAGGGGGGCUAGCGUUGUCCGGAUUUACUGGGCGUAAAGGGUACGUAGGCGUUUUAAUAAGUUGUAUGUUAAAUAUCUUAGCUUAACUAAGAAAAUGCAUCCAAAACUGUUAAAAUAGAGUUUGAGAGAGGAACGCAGAAUUCAUGGUGGAGCGGUGACAUGCGUAGAUAUCAUGAGGAAAGUCAAAUGCGAAGGCAGCCUUCUGGCUCAAAACUGACGCUGAGGUACGAAAGCGUGGGUAGCGAACAGGAUUAGAUACCCUGGUAGUCCACGCCGUAAACGAUGAGUAUUUGGUGCUGGGGGAUUCGACCCUUUCAGUGCCGUAGCUAACGCGAUAAAUACUCCGCCUGGGGACUACGAUCGCAAGAUUGAAACUCAAAGGAAUUGACGGGGACCCGCACAAGCGGUGGAACAUGUGGUUUAAUUCGAUGCAACGCGAAAAACCUUACCUACACUUGACAUACUUGGAAUCUUUUGUAAUGAAAGAGUGCCUUUUGGAGCCAAGAUACAGGUGCUGCAUGGCUGUCGUCAGCUCGUGUCGUGAGAUGUUGGGUUAAGUCCCAUAACGAGCGCAACCCUUACCCUUAUUUGCCAGCGAUUCGGUCGGGAACUAUAAGGGGACUGCCGGUGAUAAACCGGAGGAAGGUGAGGACGACGUCAAGUCAUCAUGGCCCUUACGUGUAGGGCUACACACGUGCUACAAUGGGGAGUACAGAUAGACGCUAAAGCGCGAGCUGGUGCUAAUCUCAUAAAACUCUUCGUAGUCCGGAUUGCAGUCUGCAACUCGACUGCAUGAAGUCGGAAUCGCUAGUAAUCGCGAAUCAGCAUGUCGCGGUGAAUACGUUCUCGGGUCUUGUACACACCGCCCGUCACACCAUGGGAGUGUAUUGCACCAGAAGUGGGUAGUCUAACCUUCGGGAGGGCGCUCACCACGGUGUGGUCCAUGACUGGGGUGAAGUCGUAACAAGGUA
rnacentral:rRNA from 1 species